UGUUUAUAUCAUCUCCAAGCUCUACGGGCGAUCCAUCCAUGGGCAGUCCUCGGAUGGACGGUCCGUGAGAGUGAGAAAGCUAAGAAAGCCAGCGACUGAAAAAGGAAAACAAAGUCCACCUUCCUCUUAGGUUCACUACGUCAGGAGGAGGGGUGAGCGUGCCCCACUUCUGCUGCCCGAGAAAAGAGGGACAUGAAGACCUUGCCACUGAGCACCCUUUCUACACACAGAGACCACGAAGGGAGAGCUUUGGCAUCCCUGCGAAGGACAUUUUGUUCUGGAUGUCAGCAUCUCCUUCCACUCCAGCUUGCAGUGGGAACAGCUUCACAUCCUGGGGGUGCUGCCUGUCUCUGUCUGGAUUUCUGUCUGUCUCGUCCUCCCAUUGACAGGAAUGCUGCUUGCAUGCUGCACGCAGCAGUUUGCAGAAAUCCAGCACGAUUUAUGGUUUCUGUUGCCCAGCGUGUAUACACACAACACUCUCCAAUGUUUAAAGAAAAAAAAAAUCAUCUGACUGUUAAAUUUCUUAACAUGCUGGUCCCCCCACACCCCCACCUCACACACACGUACACCAUUUCCCUGAUACAGUCCUACAAUAGUUGUGGCUGGGAUUAGGUUGACAACCUAAACCCCUACAAGGGCCGUGCUGGCGUGUUCUCAGCAGGUUCUCCCUAAUGCUUUGAGUCUUCCUCUCCCUCUAGCACGGGGGUGGGGUGAUUAGCAAAUGUUUCAGAUAAUCUGUGAAUUCUUAAUAGUCCUAUUUCCAAGGUUGAAGACCCGCCUGUUUCUGGGAUGUGGCAGGUUUCCGAGACAUUGGUGUUGGGGGUUUUACAGAGUUUGAAAUUUGGGUCAGGAUCCUGAUUCUCUUCAAUGUGUAAGGGUGAAAAAGGCUUAUUUUGCUUUAUUUUUCUGUUUGUUUGGGGAUACAAUUGUAUUAAUUGUGGCUGUAACAUUAUGAGAAAGGCAGAGUUGCCACCAUUUUUUCUGCCUUUUUCUCCUUUUAUCACCUACACUUCUGGUGUUAUUACUUUCAAUUUUAUUACAUAUCAAGUGUGACUUUAGAUUAAAAACGUUCUUUUUCUUAAACCCUAGGGACACUUAUAAUCCAAGACGAGUUUUGGAUUAUGAACAUUCUAGUUGAAAGGAUACCGUACACUAUCAUUGCCAAUAUAGGUUUUGAAACUUGAAUGCCAUAUUUUUGAUAGAAAAUUCACCAGUAUUGAAUUUAAAUACAUAUAUUUAUAUUUCUUGGGAAAAAAGAUUUUGGAUAACUGUCAAUUAAGCAUCCAGUCUCAUUAGAAAUACAGAAAAAUUUGAGUCCCGUCUUGGGAGGACAAAAAUUCCUUCCUCUGAAUAACCAACUCUGUGUCUGAAGAAUGUACUUUUCUAAAUAUUUAUUAUCAACAGAACUUUUUUGUCUGAUUCCAAUAGAAGUCUCCUAUGUUCUGAAGCUCAUGAGGUAGGAGAGAAGAACUGUCACACCUAAAUUUUAUUCAAAAGUAAGGCAUCAUUUUUCUUGACUUGUGAUUGAAUUUGAAGACAUUGUUAGGCUUCUUUUUUUCUUGUGACUAAAUAAAAAGUGGUUUAAAAUGAUGCAGCUAGUCAGUUGAAAAGUUGCUUUUGAAUAAAACAG